CAGUCGCCACGGUAAUACGUAGGGUGCAAGCGUUAAUCGGAAUUACUGGGCAUAAAGCGCACGCAGGCGGUCUGACAAGUCAGAUGUGAAAUCCCCGGGCUUAACCUGGGAACUGCAUUUGAAACUGUCAGGCUGGAGUCUUGUAGAGGGGGGUGGAAUUCCAGGUGUAGCGGUGAAAUGCGUAGAGAUCUGGAGGAAUACCGGUGGCGAAGGCGGCCCCCUGGACAAAGGCUGACGCUCGGGUGCGAAAGCGUGGGGAGCAAACAGGAUUAGAUACCCCGGUAGUCCCUGUCUCUUAUAC
rnacentral:rRNA from 1 species